AUGAGAGUAGCGUUUCAGAUUUUGUCGCUCAAUACGCAAUUUGAUAGGACACGUGAGCGUGUGAUAAAACCCGAGCUGACCUGUAAAGCGGGACCAACAGACAGAGCUGCCGUGCCUCGCAGAACUUCCAGCCAACCCAACCCGCACAAGUCGCGAGGCCCGCGUCUCCGUGUCUCCCAAUCCAACCAGCCGAGUCGCGAUCUCCCCCACAGAAAAACAGAGCCGCGCACGCAUCGUUGGUCCAGCUCCCCUCCCCUCCCGCAGCUCCGCCCCCGCCUCCGAGUCCGGCGACCGCGAGCAACCCAGCCGGAGACAGCUGCGGGCGAGCGAACCGCGAUGGGGCUGUGCUCGUGCUGCUGCCGGUGCCUGGAGAUCAUGUGCGCCAUCCUCCUCCCGCCCCUCGGCGUCUGCCUCCGCCACGGCUGCUGCUCCAUGGAGUUCUGGAUCAGCGUGCUGCUCACCAUCCUCGGCUACCUGCCGGGCGUCCUCUACGCCGCCUACGUCAUCUGCUCCGUCGACCCCGACCGCGUCCGCCGCCGCGGCGACAGCGACGACGACUACAUCUACGUCGCCUGA
rnacentral:rRNA from 1 species